rnacentral:SRP_RNA from 1 species
CGGCGGGAAGGGCCGGGGUGCUAGCCCUACCCUGUCACCUGAAACGGGCUACAUGCAGGGGCCAGAUAACCUGUGGGGCGCUUAGGCAGCCGCGCUGGCUGCCAGCCUUUAGGCCAUGAAGACGCGCCGAGGUGGGGCGCCGUAGGCGGGCAAGGCAUCCGUAGGGAUGCCCCAAACCGCCGAACACGCCGAACUGUGUUAGGCCCGGGAGGGAGCGGCACUAAGGCGUGGCGGUGCAGCCUCCUCAUAAGCGCGUCCGAGCCACAGGGCUGGAUAAACCAGCGCGGUGUCGCCUCUGCCACCCACGGGGGCCGCCG